UGGGGUUGAACUUGGGGAUCCUGGAGAUCUCUUCCAAGCUUGAUGACACAGUGGUUCCAUUUUAGGUCAUGGUGGGGUGGGUUGGGGUUGGAGUUGAACUGGAUGACCUUGGAGGCCUUCUCCAACCUUCAUGACCCUAUGGAUCCAUUUAGGGUCAUGGUGGGAUGGGUUGGGGUUGGAGUUGAACUGGAUGACCUUGGAGGCCUUCUCCAACCUUCAUGACCCUAUGGAUCCAUUUAGGGUCAUGGUGGGGUGGGUUGGGGUUGGAGUUGAACUGGAUGACCUUGGAGGUCUUCUCCAACCUUCAUGACCCUAUGGAUCUAUUUAGGGUCAUGGUGGGGUGGGUUGGGGUUGGAGCUGGGGAUCUUGGAGAUCUUUUCCAAGCUUGGUGACACAGUGGUACCAUUUUAGGUCAUGGUGGGGUGGGUUGGGGUUGGAGUUGAACUGGAUGACCUUGGAGGUCUUCUCCAACCUUCAUGACCCUACGGAUCCAUUUAGGGUCAUGGUGGGGUGGGUUGGGCUUGGGGAUCCUGGAGAUCUCUUCCAACCUCUAUGACCCUUUGGUGGACGUGGUGGGGACGAGUUGAGCCCUGCACUCGGGGAUGCUGGAGGUCUUUUCCAACAUUAGCAGUUCCGUGACAGCGCUGGGAGCAGACGGGGACACCACGCAGUGGGGUUCCUGGUUAUGGGGCAGCGCUCCCAGCGAUGGGGCAGCGCUCGGCUCCCGGCGAAGGGCUCAUAAAAAGCCCGACUGAAGCCGGUGGCAUUUUGGAGCAGAGUUAAGUAAUUUUCCUGGAUUUCAGGGAUUUUUUCCUUGUCACUGGUGACCUCAUAGUAUAGAGUAAUGCACGGAAACUUUCGGCUCGUUCCAAGAGAGCUUAAAAAACACUAAAAAAGGAAAAACUAUCUUUCCGUUGGCUCCCUGAGCCCCGUCCAGAAGAAAGAGGGCUGUCUGUUAGCAACAGUGAAAGAUAAUCCGGGUGUGAGUAAUG